GUGGAGUGGCCAACUGUUGGACUGAAUUUGGACCCAGCACCUGUACCUUUGUUUCGGGUGGGCACAACCCUCUGACCGACCACAACACCUGCCAGUUGAUAAUAGGCGAGCUUAUUGAUACAGAGUGAUAACAAAAAGCAACAAUACAAACAAUCAAACAAUUCUAUAUCUACCAAUUCUAUGGCUGUCAUCAGAGUCAAGGUACAUCUGGCUGGGAUGCAAUCUUUACUUAUGAGGCUCUCUCUUAGGUGUCAUCAGUCUGGAGGUGGGAUUCCAAGGCCCACAGCCCCCCUCCAGUGGGGUACAUGAAAUGGGCUGCUGGUAUGCCCUCUGUCCAUGGUGGCCUUGGGGACCCUCCCCAGGGAAUGGGGACAGGGACCCUCAAGUCUUUGCUUUUGUCUUUUGCAUAACAGCCAUCUACAAAGCUUCAACAGACAGCUGACACUAAGGAUUUUUCAACUGCUUAACCUGUUUCUCUAGAUGUUAAUUAAUAAAUUCCUUUACUUCCUACAACCUUCUAUUCAGAUACCACCUCUGUUUCCACGUGUUAAAGUCCACUUGCCUUAAGUCACACAAUAUAUCUUAAAAUCUGUGGUCACCAACUGCACAACACCUAAAUUUCCCCUUCUAACCCUCAGGGACAGCUACAGCCAAGGAUUAGUGGUAGGAGUGGAGAUCCUAAACUCCCUCCCUAGUUUCUCGGCAAAUCUACAGCCAAGAGACAUCCAUAAACUUGUUUAUAACUCGUUCCUUCUUUCUCCUAACAAAACAUCUCUGAAACUCCUAUUCGGCGAGAAUCUAACUUCUCCUGUAGGCUCUGGGAAUUCUACAACCCUAAGGGUGCACACCAGAGGAACAAUAAACACAGAGCUUCCUCUAUAUCCCCCUUCUGCAUUCUCCACCACUUAAAUCUUAUGCAAAUUGCCAAUUGCUCAAAUCACGAAUGAGGAAUAGACAUGAUGCUGAGUUUACUGAUUAAGCACUUAACACACACAUAUUCAUACCCCAAUUUCUGUUCUGCACUGGUAUACAUUACCAGCCUUAUCAGUAAUUGGAUCAACUUAGUGGCCAGCCAAGUUGAUCACAAGUAGGAGCCGGGCUCCUGCCGGUCCCUCUUGUCAGAUGAACCGAUGCUCCAGGAUGACAUGCAGAACAAGACCCAAAAUCAAUACAUCUCGCCCCAUCUUUUAGAGCCUUGGCCCUUUUAUAGCCCUCCUCCACCCAGUCCUCUGGGCUUUUGCUGUGUUAUCACAGUGUUCUUUCUUGAAGGCUGAUUGUCACAGUUCUCUCACUGUUCUGGGGCAGAUUAUUCUUUUUUGUUCUUUUAGCUGUCUGCAUUCUUCAGCCAGUCGCCAGCUGAUGUUUUCCUUUUCCACAGACACUCUCACCUAUUCUCUCACACAUACAGCAUACAAAGGUCAAACACUUAUGUCAAGUUACAGAGCAAUACAAAAUGGAGUUUCUUAAGGCAAUGCAAAACUCAAGAAAAUCCGAGAGAGAGAGAUCCUGAUCCUGAUCCUGAUCCGCAACCCCGGAGGAUUCCGGGAUCGCAAUCCGCCCCAACAGGAUGGCAACAAACUAAGCUGGGUCUACCAUUCAAUACAGAGGGAGCACUAGAAGCAGCUCCCAGUCCAGGACCAGAGGAGGCGCAGAGAACAUGCCCCGCUAAUGAAUCAAUUAGCAGAGAAGGCUCAGUUCAUACACAGUAGCCUAAAAUAUCCGGGAUAUUCGGGAUCCCUUAUCAGCUAUGUCAAUGUUCCCUUGCUAAUGAGGUAAUUAGCGAGGCAAGUGCAACUCUGUAACCUCCUGCUAAGGGAUAAAACUUGCACUACAUGAGCUCAUCACCUGGGUGGUAUGUGGUGUUUUCUCACUCCAAAACUAACACUGAACUUAUCUUCUUUUUGAUCCAAGUCAUGGCAGAAGAAUUUAGAGGGAGACCAAGCUAGACCCAUCUCCCCCUCUCACACUUACAAAGUAUCUGCAUAAUUUUGAGUUUCUGCAUAUAAUUUUGAGUUUUUAACCAUGUGAUUAAAAACAUGAUUAAUUGUGACUAUUUUUUUUUAAUCGCACAACUAGUUGCAGUUAAAUCUUUUAAUCAUUUGACAGCCCUAAGACCCACUACCCAAUCUUUGAGUCUUCUCCUCUGGGGCAGAGAGCAGCUUACACUUGUACAGAUUAAGUGGUCCUGCUAACUUCACCCCUCAAUUAGCUAAACCAGCCCCACCCAGAGCAAGCCCUGUUGUUCAGUUUAACAGGGAGCCUCAGGCUCCUUUUACUUUAAAGAGAGAAAUGGCAGAGAUAGGAACAUAGAGAGCUGGCAGAAAUGGCACAGAGAUAGGAACCUAGACAGCUGAGCAGGGCUAGCCACAAGAAGGAAGGCAGCAAAUAAACACUGCUGUCUAGGUAGGGUGAUGCCCUUUAGAGGCCUGCAGGGAGCUGGCUGCAAGGGAAAUAGGCCAGUAGGGCAGAACCUAGUUUGUGCAGCAGGGAAGCUUCUCCAGCAGCAGCCAUAAGCUGCCAUAGCAACCAGCCUUCAGGCCCUAAUGAGAAAUCCAAGCUCAGCUGGAGCACUGCCUGAUAGGAAGGGGCAGGACAUAGGCAGCAUAUAAAUCAGAUCACGCUGGUUGGCUCAGCAUAUUGCAGAGUAAAAAACUCCUGGCUGUAGGGAGAAGCUUUGUUGAUUUCUGGAAUUCCCCCUAAGGAUGCAAGAGAAAAUCACUGUCUUCAGUCAAGAAGUGAAGAAAAGAACUAUAAAAUUUCUCCUCAAAACUGACAUGGAACUUUAUUUCCAAGGUGGACACAGAAAAAGCAUAUCUAUAAGAAGAGAAUUUCUUCCUUCAUUUUCAUCCUCCAGCGCUUACUACGGUUUUAGGAAAUAUUCUUUUUCUGCCUGGAUAAAUAUUUUUGUCUGUAUUAAAAUGCAGUUUAUCAGUAACUCUUUAUCUGCUUGGCACUGAAGACUCUCUCUUCCAAGAUGUACAACUGUUACACUAUUACUUGUGACUUUAAAAUGUGGCAUUGCUUACACAGGAAAACAUUAAUAGACCUUUUUUCAGAUUUUAGUUUGAAAAGAACUUUGUUUAAUCUCUUCAAAACAUGAUCAUGGUAUCUGCACCUGAGGGGCUCACAUAGGGGCCAAUUUUGACAUUCUUACUCUUCUUUAGAAGUACCACAUUCCAUAAAUAGUCCCAUCUACUUCCACAACUGCUAGAUAAGAUAUUCUUCAAUGGGUGAUAUGGCAUAGUCAGGCUUUUACUUUUUUAAGACUGCAAAGUGAAGUUUACUCUAUCAGCAUACAUGCAAUGAUAUGCACUGGGUGCAAGAGAGGGCUAUAAACCUCAAUUUAUGCUCAAUUUUAAUGAUGAUAACAACAGUCAAAGAAUUCCAAGUAUCUGGUUUAUCACAUUUUACAACUCAACUCAUUUUUUGUUCCUCUUCCCCCCCCCCCACCUUCACUCAUACCUAGAGUUUCAAAAAGUCUCUAAACUCAGAAUUGUUACUAUCUUUGUGACUGUGGCAAAACCAUCCUUUUCAAAUAUACAUUUUAAGUAAUGGUGGUGUUUAACUUGAAUUCAGACUACUGGUUUUACUAUACUUGUUCGUCAUCUCUGACGCUUGAAAGCUGCACAACUCAAAGAUAGGUAAUUAAUCUAAUCACCACUGAAAUAAAUCAUUUUCAAACAUAUACUGUCCAAGCAGAGGAGAUGAAAAGAUAUUUAUAAUUAGCAACAGAGACAAUUACUACUUUGUUCCCACUGUGAAUAGUUACAAGAAAGAGAAAAACUGAAUGGUGUGUCCAACUACUAUUGUUUAGAGUUGCUCCUUCCUUGUUAAAAAUGUUAAAUGUACUUCUACAAUAACAAUGAGUAAUAUUCUUCUCUUGUUGGGCCAUCGAAUUUUGCACUCAGCUACCACAUAAUAAAUUCAUAAUAGCUCCAUUUA